AAUAGAUACCCGGGUAGUCCACCCCGUAAACGUUGGGAACUAGUUGUGGGGUCCUUUCCACGGAUUCCGUGACGCAGCUAACGCAUUAAGUUCCCCGCCUGGGGAGUACGGCCGCAAGGCUAAAACUCAAAAGGAAUUGACGGGGACCCGCACAAGCGGCGGAGCAUGCGGAUUAAUUCGAUGCAACGCGAAGAACCUUACCAAGGCUUGACAUACACCAGAACACCCUAGAAAUAGGGGACUCUUUGGACACUGGUGAACAGGUGGUGCAUGGUUGUCGUCAGCUCGUGUCGUGAGAUGUUGGGUUAAGUCCCGCAACGAGCGCAACCCUCGUUCUAUGUUGCCAGCACGUAAUGGUGGGAACUCAUGGGAUACUGCCGGGGUCAACUCGGAGGAAGGUGGGGAUGACGUCAAAUCAUCAUGCCCCUUAUGUCUUGGGCUUCACGCAUGCUACAAUGGCCGGUACAAAGGGCUGCAAUACCGUGAGGUGAGCGAAUCCCAAAAGCCGGUCCAGUUCGGAUUGAGGUCUGCAACUCGACCUCAUG
rnacentral:rRNA from 1 species